rnacentral:rRNA from 1 species
GAUGAACGCUGGCGGCGUGCCUAAUACAUGCAAGUCGAGCGAACAGACGAGGAGCUUGCUCCCCUGACGUUAGCGGCGGACGGGUGAGUAACACGUGGAUAACCUACCUAUAAGACUGGGAUAACUUCGGGAAACCGGAGCUAAUAACGGAUAAUAUAUUGAACCGCAUGGUUCAAUAGUGAAUGACGGUUUUGCUGUCACUAUUAGAUGGAUCCGCGCCGCAUUAGCUAGUUGGUAAGGUAACGGCUUACCAAGGCAACGAUGCGUAGCCGACCUGAGAGGGUGAUCGGCCACACUGGAACUGAGACACGGUCCAGACUCCUACGGGAGGCAGCAGUAGGGAAUCUUCCGCAAUGGGCGAAAGCCUGACGGAGCAACGCCGCGUGAGUGAUGAAGGUCUUCGGAUCGUAAAGCUCUGUUAUUAGGGAAGAACAAAUGUGUAAGUAACUAUGCACGUCUUGACGGUACCUAAUCAGAAAGCCACGGCUAACUACGUG